UAGGGAAUCUUCCGCAAUGGGCGAAAGCUUGACGGAGCAACGCCGCGUGAGUGAUGAAGGUCUUCGGAUCGUAAAACUCUGUUAUUAGGGAAGAACAAAUGUGUAAGUAACUAUGCACGUCUUGACGGUACCUAAUCAGAAAGCCACGGCUAACUACGUGCCAGCAGCCGCGGUAAUACGUAGGUGGCAAGCGUUAUCCGGAAUUAUUGGGCGUAAAGCGCGCGUAGGCGGUUUUUUAAGUCUGAUGUGAAAGCCCACGGCUCAACCGUGGAGGGUCAUUGGAAACUGGAAAACUUGAGUGCAGAAGAGGAAAGUGGAAUUCCAUGUGUAGCGGGGAAAGGGGCAGAGAUAUGGGGGAACACCAGUGGCGAAGGCGACUUUCUGGUCUGUAACUGACGCUGAUGUGCGAAGGCGUGGGGAUCAAACAGG
rnacentral:rRNA from 1 species